UACGUAGGUGGCAAGCGUUGUCCGGAUUUAUUGGGCGUAAAGCGAGUGCAGGCGGUUCAAUAAGUCUGAUGUGAAAGCCUUCGGCUCAACCGGAGAAUUGCAUCAGAAACUGUUGAACUUGAGUGCAGAAGAGGAGAGUGGAACUCCAUGUGUAGCGGUGGAAUGCGUAGAUAUAUGGAAGAACACCAGUGGCGAAGGCGGCUCUCUGGUCUGCAACUGACGCUGAGGCU
rnacentral:rRNA from 1 species